AUUGAACGCUGGCGGCAGGCUUAACACAUGCAAGUCGAACGGUAACGGGUUGAAAGCUUGCUUUCAAUGCUGACGAGUGGCGGACGGGUGAGUAAGGCUUGGGGAUCUGGCUUUUGGAGGGGGAUAACCAUUGGAAACGAUGGCUAAUACCGCAUAGUAUCGAGAGAUGAAAGGGGUGGGAAACCACUUGCCAAGGGAUGAACCCAAGUGAGAUUAGGUAGUUGGUGGGGUAAAGGCCUACCAAGCCGACGAUCUCUAGCUGGUCUGAGAGGAUGGCCAGCCACACUGGGACUGAGACACGGCCCAGACUCCUACGGGAGGCAGCAGUGGGGAAUAUUGCGCAAUGGGGGGAACCCUGACGCAGCCAUGCCGCGUGAAUGAAGAAGGCCUUCGGGUUGUAAAGUUCUUUCGGUGGUGAGGAAGGUGGUAGUGUUAAUAGCGCUAUUGUUUGACGUUAGCCACAGAAGAAGCACCGGCUAACUCCGUGCCAGCAGCCGCGGUAAUACGGAGGGUGCGAGCGUUAAUCGGAAUAACUGGGCGUAAAGGGCACGCAGGCGGGACGUUAAGUGAGAUGUGAAAGCCCCGGGCUUAACCUGGGAACAGCAUUUCAUACUGGCGUACUAGAGUACUUUAGGGAGGGGUAGAAUUCCACGUGUAGCGGUGAAAUGCGUAGAGAUGUGGAGGAAUACCGAAAGCGAAGGCAGCCCCUUGGGAAGAUACUGACGCUCAUGUGCGAAAGUGUGGGUAGCAAACAGG
rnacentral:rRNA from 1 species